rnacentral:rRNA from 1 species
GACGAACGCUGGCGGCGCGCUUAACACAUGCAAGUCGAGCGGUAAGGCCCUUUCAGGGGUACACGAGCGGCGAACGGGUGAGUAACACGUGGGUGACCUGCCCUUAGCUCUGGGAUAAGCCUGGGAAACUGGGUCUAAUACCGGAUAUGACUCCAUGACGCAUGUUGUGGGGUGGAAAGCCUUGUGCGGCUAGGGAUGGGCCCGCGGCCUAUCAGCUUGUUGGUGGGGUGANGGCCUACCAAGGCGACGACGGGUAGCCGGCCUGAGAGGGCGACCGGCCACACUGGGACUGAGACACGGCCCAGACUCCUACGGGAGGCAGCAGUGGGGAAUCUUGCGCAAUGGGCGAAAGCCUGACGCAGCGACGCCGCGUGGGGAUGAC